rnacentral:rRNA from 1 species
AUGGUGGCGUUGGAGUGCCUCGGGCUCGCCGGAGGCAGCGCCAACCCGGCCGCGCCGCUCGCCGCCGUCCAGCACCUCGUCGGCGCGAACGCCCCGGUGGGGGCCGCCCUGUCCAGGCUCUACGUCGCCUACGAGCGCGCGGAUUCAGGGUGCGACUACAUCGACCGGUGCCGCGGAGUCCUGAAGGUGGUCUACUACCUCCUCGGCCACCACGGCCUCCCGUACAUGGACGGCCUCGUCGGCCUCGAGCACGCGCACGCGAUCGCCGACCUCAACCUCGCCGCGCAGAUGCUGCAGUCUUGCACCGACGAGGCCGCCGCCGCCCUCCGCGGUAUGGCUGGCCCCGCGUGA